rnacentral:rRNA from 1 species
UAUAGAAUCCGUUUGAUCCUGACGGACCUGACUGCUAUCAGAUUGAUACUAAGCCAUGUUAGUUAUUGUAGUAAUACAAGGCAGACGGCUCAGUAACACGUAGUCAACCUAACUUAUGGACGGGGAUAACCUCGGGAAACUGAGAAUAAUACCCGAUAGGUCAUGAUGCCUGGAAUGGUUUAUGACUCAAAUAAUUUAUUGCCGUAGGAUGGGACUGCGAGCUAUCAGCUUGUUGGUGAGGUAAUGGCCCACCAAGGCUAUUACAGCUACGGGCUCUGAGAGGAGUAGCCCGGAGAUGGGUACUGAGACAAGGACCCAGGCCCUAUGGGGCGCAGCAGGCGAGAAAACUUUGCAAUGCGCGAAAGCUCGACAAGGUUAAUCUGAGUGGUUCCUGCUAAAGGAACCUUUUGUUAGUCGUAGAACCACUGAUGAAUAAGGGGUGGGCAAGUUCUGGUGUCAGCCGCCGCGGUAAAACCAGCACCUCAAGUGGUCAGGAUGAUUAUUGGGCCUAAAGCAUCCGUAGCCGGCUCUGUAAGUUUUCGGUUAAAUCUGUACGCUCAACGUACAGGCUGCCGGGAAUACUGCAGAGCUAGGGAGUGGGAGAGGUAGACGGUACUCGGUAGGAAGGGGUAAAAUCCUUUGAUCUAUUGAUGACCACCUGUGGCGAAGGCGGUCUACCAGAACACGUUCGACGGUGAGGGAUGAAAGCUGGGGGAGCAAACCGGAUUAGAUACCCGGGUAGUCCCAGCUGUAAACGAUGCAAACUCGAUGAUGCGUUGGCUUGUUGCUAGCGCAGUGUCGCAGGGAAGCCGUUAAGUUUGCCGCCUGGGAAGUACGUACGCAAGUAUGAAACUUAAAGGAAUUGGCGGGGGAGCACCACAAGGGGUGAAGCCUGCGGUUCAAUUGGAGUCAACGCCAGAAAUCUUACCCGGAGAGACAGCAGAAUGAAGGUCAAGCUGAAGACUUUACCAGACAAGCUGAGAGGUGGUGCAUGGCCGUCGCCAGCUCGUGCCGUGAGAUGUCCUGUUAAGUCAGGUAACGAGCGAGAUCCCUGCCUCUAGUUGCCAC